rnacentral:lncRNA from 1 species
AGAUUGGAAGCAAAAAUCAUGUGAAGCUUGACCCUAUAUUCGAGCUUCCUCUUUGUAAAGACAUAUCAUCUAGGGACAAAAAUGACGCCAAAUUUUAUAAGGUGAUAAAAAAAAAAAAAUCCAAGAUACGUUAUUUUACUCUCACCUCAAGUAGGGACAAGUUUGGCAUUGUGAAUUCUUGCAAUGGCUUGCUUUGUUUAUCUGAAACAUCUAUCGGAAGCCCUUUAGUGAUUUGCAACCCAGUAACGAGGGAAUUCACAAUACUUCCUGAACUUACUACGACUUCUGACUGGUUUAACCGUGCUCGGGCUCGGGUACAAGCUGGUUUUGGUUUCCAACCCAAAACUAAUGAAUAUAAGGUGAUCAUAAUGUGGAACAAAUAUGUUAGACGAAACAAUCGUUUGGUGUUUGAGCGUGUAGUGCUCGAGAUACACACGCUUGGAACACCAUCAUGGAGAAAGGUUGAAGUGGAUCCUCAAAUUUCUUUUUUGAAGCUUUUGAAUCCAACAUGUGUGAAUGGCGCACUUCAUUGGAUUAUAUUUGAAACGGGGCAACAAAAGUCAAUAUUGUGUUUCAAUUUUGAAAGUGAGAGGUUGCAGUCGUUUCCUUCUCCUCCACAUGUGUUUGGAAAUCAUGAUAAUGGAUUUCCCCUUAGCAUGCCUAUUAGAUUGGGAGAAUUGAAGGGAUUUCUUUACAUUUGUCAUAUAUCGUCUCUUGAGAAUGUUACAAUGUGGGUUAUGAAUGAAUAUGGCAUUGGAGAAUCAUGGACUAUUGUUUACAGCAUUGAUACUUCGCUCUUGCUCAUGCCGGGCACUUGUUUGGGCUAUCCUGAUCCGUGGCGUUGUGGUUGUUAUUGGCUGUCUAAACACCACGAACCUGAGAAACAUGAGUUCAAAGUUUUUCGAAUUCAAGGGACAACUUUAGGAGAAGUUGAAGUAAUUGAAUAUAUUCCAAGUCUAAUAUCAUUGAACGAUGUCGUGAAAGGAGACAAUGUUGAAGCGUUGAACACCCACUCAUGGUACGAAUGUAAUAUUUUAUUUUGAUCGAGUAAAUGAAUAUGAUUUUCUUUUAGAAAUUACAAUUUGACUCAUAAGACGAAGAUUCAAUGGGACAUAUGUGAAUUUCUUACGUUGUUGUCUAUGUUUUGAUUUCCAAUUUUGUGAACAACCAUGAUCUAUUUUUGUGUUGUUUUAAUUUGUUAUAAUUUUAGUCCAUUUUCGUUGCCUUUAAUUACAUAUUAGCUUUAACAAUUGUAAAAAUACAUGUUGACUCAAUUAUUUGUUGGAAAAUGUUGUCAACACUCGCUCGUUUCAACACAUUCUUUCUAACACCAAUUCUCUUAUUCUGUUAAAUGCACAUGGGUCCCACCACUAUAUGCGAGACUUGUUUUCAAAGUGGUAGGUCCUAUAUGUAUUUCACCAAUAAGAGAGUGUAUGUUAGAAAGAGUGUUAAAAUGAGUGUUGUUGACAUUACUCCUAUUUAUUAAUAAUUACAUCUUAUAAAUUUCUCUUAGAAAUGUAACUUGGUCUAACACAACUCUACAAAACCGGCUUAAGAUGUUAGAAUUGUUUUCACAUAUAAACACUUGUUGAGACCAUCUUUUAUCCGAUGUAGAACUCUUUAGCAUAUUCCUUUAUACUUUUUGGGUUGAUGGACGAGUAGGAAAUGGAUAGUUCUUGUAAUGUUGGUUUUUGGAUCUUCCUUGUUUGUUUAGUUGUGGAUAGUUUCUCAAGACUAUUUUAUCCCCUACAAAUUGUAGUUAUAGCAAAUUUUACUUAACCAUUGUUCCUUAAUUGUUUUAAUUUUUUGUAGGUGGGAAAACGAUAUUACAUGUGGAGAAAAUGAAGUUCUUUCCAUAUCUCAACAUAUUGUUUGAGAGUUGGAAAGUACACGUUCUUCACCUGCACUUCUGGUGAAGAAUUUGGUGAAGAGCCUGCUUCCUAAUAAGAGUACGUUUGUUUUCGCAUUGGAAGCCUUUGAUGAAUAAUAUAUGAAUUUCUAUACAACAGGGAGGGUUAAAAGAGAAACUCUUCUAUAGGCACAACCACAAAUGAUAAAUAUUUAUUUAAACACGCCCACAUCAAAUAUGCAAAAGUUAAAAGAGAAUAAAACUAAAUGAUGUUGAUUGAGGUGAUCUAAUUAUUUUUGUUUUAAAAUUUUCCAUUUGAUGUGAGUGCGUCCAAAUAUUUAUCAUUUGUGCUUGUGUUCAUAGAAGAGUUUCCCGGUGGUAAGAGAUAAAAUUCCUGUUCUAUCUUACCAUUCUUUUAAUUAUUACAAUUGUGUUUAACUACUGUUUGGGUUAAAUAAGUAAAUGGUCCCCCUAAAUAUAUCAACAUUUGAUUUUAGUCCUCCAAAAUUUUCGAUCCAUGAAAUUAGUUCAUACUUUUCUUUUUUGUCAACUCAUGUAUUCAUGUUUUUUAAUGAAAUUUUCUAGAAAUGGAUUUUUCAAAAAAAAAAAAAAGUUUUUGGCAAAACAUAAAUUUAAUAUGAAUUUUUAUGUUUUUGGUGCUAAAACAUUUAUAACACUCAUGUUUUGUUAAAAAAAUCUAAUUUUUUUUGGAAAAUAUUAUCAUACUUUUUCACACAUUUCUGGAAAAUUUCAUGAAGGUUAAACAUGAAUUGACUAAAAAGUAGGUGAAAAUUUUUGGAGGACCAAAAGCAUAGGAAAUAUUUUAAAAGAACUAAAAUCAAAUGUUGGUUUAUAUAGGAGACCAUUUACUUAUUUAACCCUAACUAUUUUGAUGCAUAGUUUGAAGUUAAUUGUUGGCUCCGUAGAUAAUUACAAAGUUUGGAUGCAAAUAAAUUAAUAAUUCUUGUGUGACUAUUUUCUUCGAGAAAAUAAGUAAUUCUACUCUAAAACAAAACACAUAAUUUGAUUUCCUAUUUUUGUACAUUUUGGAAGGAAGCAAUAAAAAUUAUAUUGGAUACAAUUAAGUUGGUCAAUAUGCUGAAGGCUGGAUAUUGUUACUCAAAAUUUUGUUUAAAUUGACAGGAAAAUUUGGAAAUACAGAAGGCUGGGUAUGUUAUUAAAACGAAGUCAAUCAAUAUGCUGAAGAGAAUUUUUUGAGCUGGAGGAAACAUCCGCAAAGUUUCGGAGCCGUGGAGCUGCAUCAAAGAAUUUUUUUUGUAUGCUUUUGUUAAGUAAUUUUAAACCAAAUAAGGACUGAAUUCUUUGAUGGAUUGGUUACAUGAUGUUGUAUGCUUUUAAAGUUUGUUUUGAACUGCGAUGUAUUGCUGGUUCCUAAUAUGUUUUGUUUGAGUUAAUGUUGAACUCAGUAUACUUCUGUUUUGAACUGUGAUGAAUUGCUGGUUUCUAAUAUGCUUUGUUUGAGUCAACAGAGUUACACAUUUCAAAAUUUCAUAAUCAAUAAGAAUAAUAGCUCGGACUUUCUUCCCUUAACAUAUUAAUAAGAGAGUGUUGGGACAUUGGUAUGAAGUUGAAAGAAAAUUGAAUGGUUGGGAAGAUUAAACACCAAGUCAUGAGAUUUUAACAUAAUGUUGCGUGAAUUAAAAAUCUUUUUAAUUUUUAAAUACUUGAUAUUGAUAAAAUAAUAGUAAUUAUUAUUAUUUUUUAUUCAUGAUGUCACUUUCCAUAACUUUAAUUUAGUUUAUUUUGGUUGUGAUCAAGAUUGAGAAUUUAACUAAGUUUUCUAUUUUUUCUUCAUUCACUUCCAAUUACUUUGUAUCUUCCAUUUUACUGGUUAGUUUCUUUCACAAGUUUAACUAAAUUUGAUUACAAAAUUUCUAUAUAAAUAAAUGACUAUAAUGAGUCAUAAAUCACAUCAAAAUUGUUAAAAAUAAAUAAAUAAAUAAAUCACAUCAAAACAUGAGUUGUCGAAAACUUUUUCUCUCUUCUCCCUCCAACUUGUGUUAACAAGUUAUUCCUUUAUAAAUUAAACAUGACUUUUACUGGUGUUAAAAUCAGUCUUCAGUAUCCCCGUGAGCUUAGCUCAGUUGGUAGGGAUAUUGUAUAUUAUAUGCAUGAGGCGGGGUUCGAACCCCGCACACUUCAUUUCUCCACAAUUAAAUUGUGUGAGCUCUAGCCACUAGGCUACUUGACCAAAAAGAAUAAUAAUUCAGUCUUCAGUCUUUAGGUUUGUAUAUGUGCUUUAGUAAGUUCAAGCUUAAAAUUUGACUGUUUUCAUGAGAGGAAAUAAUUAAAUAUGAGAAGGGCAUUAAAUUGUGUGUAUUAAAGUAUGAUUAAAUUGUGGUUUGUUUGUGAUUUGUUCAGUUUGUAUGCCUUCACCUCUAAUAGUUUAAUUUUCUUCAUGAUAGCAAGUGCAUAUGUAAUGGAAAGGAUAUGAAUACAACUAUAUGAUUCAAAUUUAAAGAUAUUAGAAGCCAGAAACACAUGUCAUAUUAUGAUGAUUCAAAUUAAAUUAAAUUUCUCUAUUUCCAAAUUCAUUCGUGCUUCUGUGUACGAUUUCUAAAGCUGAACCACUUAUGCAUCAUCUAUAACAGCGACUAUUUUUUUAUAAUCAAAAGAUACACCUCAAUUAGCAUCAACAUUUAAGGUUUUUUCCAUUAAUAAUAAAACAAUUCAAACACCUCAAAAUAAGUUACUUAUAUCUUAUAUUAUAAUGUCUCAACCCUUUUAUUUUUAAGAAAUGUCUCAACCUUUGCUAAAAAAAAAAAAAAAAAAAUAUCAACCCUUUAAUCACUAGUUUACACAUUUUGUGAUAAAAACUUUAAUUGAUAUAUAUUGAUUUAUAAAUAAUAAUUUACUCGAAUAGUAAAUAGUAAAUCACACCCAUAAGGGUCCGUUUGGUUCGAGAAUUAGGAGGGGACGGGAGGGGAGGGAUUUUUACGGAGGGGAGAUAUUUUUAAUUAAAAGUGUGUUUGGUUCACAAGGGGAGGGGAGGGAUUUUAACAGUAUUUUACCGUUUUACCCUUAAACUUAAUUAAAUAAAAGAAACUGUUUGUUUUUACGAUUUCAGAAACUGACAAAGACAAGCACACAUCUAAGCCGCUAUUUUAUCUUAAACUGGCUCAUGUAUUUUGCUCCAAGCAUCAUAUUGUUUUUUUUUUUUGACUUUUUUUAUCGGAGCAAUUCUUUGUAAUAUUUUUUUUAUAAGAGCAAUUCUUUGUAAUCCUUGCAUUUUUUUCCAAUUACUUUCGUAAAAAAUAGCAUAGCUCUUAAAUAUAGGACAUAAGAAUUUUCAAAAUCAUGGAUAGUGCUUAUUAAUUAACAAUUGUAAGACAAAUGAAAUUUGUUGCAUAUGAACAAAUAAGACACAUGAAAGUGACUAUGACUACUGUUAAUAUUUUAUUAAUAUAAAAAUGUACCUUAAAAUAUGGGUAGAAUCUAGUGCUACUAGAAAUUUCCAAGGGGAUCGUUGAUCCAUCAGGUUGUACAAUAAACUUUUCUUCCAAUUCAAGAAUAGCUUUCAAAACUUGAUGGAGAUGACGGCUAAUUGUCUCACCCGAACGACGAAACCAAAAGUUGACUUCACGAUUUUUAGCAUUAUGGGUUAGUAUGUAAAGUGAUUUUGCAACUUGUUCUUCCACACUUGACCAUCUUGUAGGUCGUAAGCCCCCUUCUCUUUCUAACAUAUCGCAUAACUUUAAAAAAGUUUGAGGACCCAUUCUUAUUAUAUUUCUACUAGUUUCACUAUUUUUAAGUCGAUACAUUACUUCUUCACGCACCCUUUCUCUCGGAGAGCUCAUACUAUAACUUUUUUUUUUUUUACGAGAUUCAAAUAUAACAAAAGACAACAACACACAUAAGCUGAGCUAUAGCUCUUCGGCGCAAAUCAAACCAUCUAUUGAUAGCAAUUUCCUGAUCUUGAUGAUCCAUCUAAUCGCAUAAAAUUAAUUUCUAGAUUAUAUAACUCUUAUACUACAAUUACAUAUAGACAUGUAAUAAACUACAACAAACAUAUUUAUAUAUAAACGAGGCCAUGAUCAAUAUAUGGAAGAAAAAAAAAUGAAACAAAGCAUAUAGAAAGAAAAGCAGAAUGUAAAAAAGAAAAAAAAAUCAUGAUUAAUGUAUAGAUAUAUGGAAGAUAAAAAAAAUGAAACAAAGCAUAUAGAUUAAUGUACAGAAAAAUAAAGCCAAGAUUUUACACAACAAGACAUGUAGGAUCGGUGAAUUAACAGUGAAAAAAAACACUACUAGGUUGUGAUUAUCCUAUUUUAGCUAGAAGUGAAGAUUUGCAUUUUAUAUAAGCUGUAUCUGAUACUCCAACAACAAUAAGUAUCAAUAAAAAUAAUGCACAGCUUUGAGGAUGGAUAAUGUAGUGUGCCAACAGGAACAAGUUCAAUAGCCAGCAUCAGCAUGCUUGAGAGAGGUUUUAAGUGGGAACAUGUGAAAUGUAAACAUGUCCUGAGUUUUUACUGUUCGUUUGCCUGUAGGCUGUAGCUAUUUUAUGCAAAAUUUUAUUUGUAUAUUUCUGUUCUCAUGGUAAAUUAUUUUAUUUUUUUAAAACUAUGUGCGUUUUUAGUGAAUUUCAUUUUCAAUUUGAUUCAAUGAUUACGAGUUAUAUUCAGCUAAUCCGAUAAUAGUAAGGUUGUGUAGUGAAAAAAAAUUCUGGUCAAGAUUUUACACAACAAAACAUGGAUAGGUGAAUUAACUGUGAAAAAAAAAACAAGCAACAACAAGUAUAAUAAUCUGAAUUAAAAUAAAAUAAUAAUAAUAAUAAUAAAACUUCAACGAUUUCAUCAAAAAAAAAAAUGACUUCAACGAUUUUAAAAGUGCAAAAAAAACAAUACUCUCAAAUGAAUGGAUCAAUACCAUAAGAAAAAACACACUAUGAAACAAACAAGUCACCGUAAGGAUAAAGCAACAAUUUAAACAAUAAAGUUCCAACAACGAUAACGAUUAAACAAGAAUAAUAAAGUAGCGAAUCAAUAACGAUGUAAUUAAUAAUACUACGAUAUAGACAAUGAGAUGAUGAAAUUACUCACAAUUCACUUUGGAGGAAGCCUCAAGCAGUCGUUGACAACAACAAAGUAGUAGUAAGAGCGGUUUGUACAUCUAACAAAUAAGAGUGGUAGAUUAUAUAAUAAUAAAAAUUGUUACAAGGAAAAUAUAACAAAAUAAUAAUAAUAAUUGUUACAAGAAUAAGAUAACCUAAUAAUAAUAAUAAGAUUGUUAUAAAAAUAAUAUAAUCUAAUAAUAAUAAAAGUUGUUACAAGGUUAAUAUUGAGAUUUGAAAUUAAUUUAAGGAUAAUUAUGGCAAUGCAAUAAAAUUUUAAAGAGAUUUGCUCCCCUCCCCUCCCCUUCCCUUCCCUUCCCUUCCCUUCUAAAAAUUGAACCAAACACUUCAAAUUAAAAAUCUCCCCUCCCCUUCCCUCCAAAACUCUCGAACCAAACGGACCCUAAGUUACACAGGUCGAAGAUAACUUAUCACUUUCUAUUACAGUCGAUAAGACCCGUGCUGUAAUAAGGGUCAAAAGUCUAGUUUAACUUUAGGCAAAUUCAACGGUACACCCACUAUAUUUGAGUGUACCGAUACACUCACUUUUUAAAUUCAUAGUUAAAUGAGUUGUUUUUUGAAAAAAUAUAUUAUUUUUUUAUCAUUUAUAAUUAUAAUAACUAAAUUUUAUUCAUCAAAAAUGUCAACGAAAUAAUUUUUUAUUUUUUAAAAUUUUUAUCACUCAUAAUUGAGAACAUUCAUUAUUUUUUACGAUAAUAUGUAAAAAAAAAAAAAGUUAUUAUGAUUCUUAUAAACAAUUAAAUGAUGUUUUUUCUUAUGAAAUGUUGUUUUAUAAAAUAUAAAUAUUGACAAAUAGCUAUUUAAUACAUAAAAAAUGAUCGUUCAUUUAUAAAAUUAAGAAGCAUGAGUACCGAUACACCUCAUUUUGUGAGUGUACCGUAGAAGUUCCCUUAACUUUAUUCCACACACACCAUAUUUAUUUCAAAGUUAAUUUUCUCUCUCUUCACCAAAGAAAUCUGGAAAACUCUCAUUCUCAAACAAACCCUAGCCGCCGCCGCCACCCUCCUUCAGUGUGUCUCCGGCAGUCGUUACAUUGCUCCACCAUCUUCAUCCUCUCCUUUUCAUCUGUAAUUAUACUCUAUCAAAUUUCCCUACGACCAUCUUUUCGGCUAGAUCUUGACAUCCACGUACAAGCUUUUGAAAAUCCAUCACCAUAAAAAGAGUCCCCUCCAUCUUCUCUACAAAACCCAUUUAAAAAUAUCAGGAACGGACAACCUUCGCCGGUGACCACCACGCCGGAGCUUGCAACCACCGCGCCGGGAAAGAGCUUACGUGUUUUCAUCCCGAUCUGGGUCAGAAUUUUUACACAAACACUUAAAACUGGGCUGUUGUCUUCAUCAAGGUCAAGUUCUUUACAUAUUUUGUUUCCAUUACAUGCAACAACAACAAUACAAAUAUGAAAUUGGAUGUGAUUUUUUUUGUAGAUGAAUCUUUUCCGGUUUUGACCGGUUCUUGUAUUUAGCAUUUUUUGACACUGAUCGGACCGGACGUAGAUCCGGUUUCCGGUUCUUGUAUUUAGCAUUUUUUGACACUGAUCGGACCGGACGUAGAUCCGGUUUCCGGUUCAACCGGUUCUGUCCGGUUUUAAUAACCUUGAACCCAACUUAGGUUUUGCUUAUAAAUAAAUAAAAAAAUGAUGCAACUUACAAUCGCCCCUUCAAUUUAUUUAAAGACUAAUACCUCAAAUUCGUCCUUGAAUUUUAAAAAAUCGGUCAAUUUCGUCCCUGAAUUUUGCGAAAUAUCAAAUUAGUUCCUGAAUUUACAAAAUGUCAAUCAAAUCAGUCCCUCCGUUAAGUUGGUCUGUUAACGGAGGUGACGUGUAACGUUAACCUCUGACAAAGCUUACCACUUCAGAUGCCACGCAAGCAGGAACCAAACUGAUUGAUUUACGCAAAAACCCUAAUUUUUUUGAUUAAAUUUGAAAUUCAUAGAUCAAGUGGUCUGCCUUGUAGAAUCGGUGUUCAGAAUUGAUGGGUGGUGCGCGAAUGGGCAAAAUCAACUGCAACAACCGGUAUUCAUCUUCAAGCUCUAGGUGUAUUUUGGAGGACAAGGUUGAUGGAUAAAGUUGAUUGUGUAAGAAGUGAGCUUAGGUUGAUUAAGAUAUUGAUAUGAAUAUUUUGUUUGAUUGAGUUGUUUAAAAUGAUAUUGUAAUGUGCCAAGUCCAUGUAAUGUUGUAAUGAAAAUAGAUUGUCAAUGAAUGAACCAAACCUUUAUGUCAAAAUAUUUCAAUGAAAUUGGUCCUUGAAUUAUAUACAUAUCCAUCAUAUCGAUCCUCAAAUUAGUUUAAAUAUCAUCAAAUAGGUCUUUGAAUUUUCACAACAGAUAUCACUGUGAUCCUUGGUGCAUACAUUUGCUGAACAAAGUAAAAAGUAAAAGACAUGCACUUUGAUUAUAAAAAGACAGACAUUUUCAUAUUAUCAUAAGUCAUAUAUUUGAUGUUCAUAAGUCAUUACAUAGCCAAAAGAAUAACAUUAUAUAGCCAUCAAAUCAUUACAUAGCCAAAAGAAUAACAUUAUAUAGCCAUCAAGUCAUCAAAUCAUUUGAUGUUCUUAAGUGAUUACAUAUCCAAAAAAGCGUAAACUAAACAAGUCCAAAAAACAUUAAUUAAACUAGUCCAAAAACAUAAUUUAAACAUGCAUCAAUGCUAUAGAAAUCCUGGAGUUGGGAUAAACUCCAUGUAUUAGGGUUGAGUAGAAGCGGAUGACCCGUAAUUUGGAUUUGGAACUCUAAUAACUCCAAGAGCAGUUGGAUCUUGUGGAGCAGGACCCCUCAAUGGUGUUUGUUUAUGCAUGUCAUUUGAAAUCAUUGGUCCUCUCAUGCCAUAUCUCCUUGUACUCAUUAUCUGCAAAUAAAAUCAAUCAUAUGAGCCCUUAAAUUAUAACAAAAUCCAUCAAAUUAGUCCUCAAAUUAUGACAGUAAGUCUCAAAUCGAUCCAAGACAACACAGGUAAUAGAGGGGUAUAAUUGGAAACACAGGAAAAAAAUACUGAAAUGUUAAAUAUCGAAUUUUGACCAUUUCCAUCAAUUUAGUCCUUGUACACGUGGCUGACUUGCUGACACGUGUACAAGACAACAAGCAUGCAAGAAGCCACAUCAUCACUAUUAAUGGACCUUUUGGACGGAGGGACGAAUUUGUUGGACGUCUGUAAAAUUCAGGGACUAAUUUGAUUUUCGAAAAAUUCAGGGACGAAAUUGACCGAUUUUUCAAAAUUCAAGGACGAAUUUGAGGUAUUAGUCUUAUUUAAACCACUGCCAAUCCCAAUCUUUGUUCUACCAGCUGUUUUGCAAUUCUCCAUCGCGACCUAAGGUACUUUCCUCGUUUCUCUAUUACUGUUGCGGUUGAUUUCUUUCUUGUUAAUUGUCAAUAUUUUUACGGUUAGUUUAGGGUUGGAUAUGGGUUGGGCACCAACGAGCCACCGAAUGAAACCAAAGGGCCACAAUCGUCUCCCCGUUCCCGACCGUUUCGAGCCUUGGUUUCGGCGGAUGUCGAUUCCAGCGGGUGUUUUAUAUUGAAUCUGAAUCAACAAUCAACAAGGCUUGAAACAACCAUUGACAAACAGAUAUACAUGACAAGAAGCAUCCAGAUCUUUAAUAGGCGAUUGGGUAAUUACCUGCUCCGCCGAUUCCUCGACCCUGACCAAAAUACUAUACUACCCUCUGUUUUAAUUUUAUAUCUUGGUUUUUUUUUUAUAUAUAUAUAUAUAUAUAUAUAUAUAUAUAUAUAUAUAUAUAUAUAUAUAUAUUUUUAAUAAAAUCAUAUAAACAUAGAACGCUUUUAAAAAUAACUAAAUAUAUGGUUUAUGUCAAUUUAUUGUGUAAAGGGAUUUAAUGGGAUCAUUGAGAUAGGAAAAUAACCUCCUGCUGACUUAGGAGAUGGAGAUGAAAUUUUGUUUAAGUGGAUUGAGGCUUGAGUGGGCUUGGACACUAUAUUACAAAAAAAAAAAAAAAAAAAAAACUAGUCCAAGUUUGGACACUACACCGACAUCCCAGUAGAAUAUAUAUUAAACAGUUUUAAAAAAUUAUCGAAAGUAUUAGGUGCAUUGGUUCAUUUGCUUGAAUACUAUACGGGGAUGGCAGUUCAAAUUCCGACAGGAACAUAUUUUUAGAAUAAAAUAUUAUUAAUGCAAUAGAAAUAUUAAUAAAAACUAUUGGGGAUUGAACCCACACCUGCUAGGUGAUUGCAAGAUUGUCUAUCCGCUGCCCCAACCAUAAGUUAUGUGAAAUAAUAUUCAUACUAUUGAAGAUCUGCCACCCGCUCUUCCCCCACCUAAUUUUGGUUGGCAUGGUUGGCCAAUGGCAGUUUGAAAUUUUUGUCCACCUUUGUAGUUAGUUUUUAAUAAUAUAAAACUUUAUUCAUAAUUUAACUUUAUGUUUAAUUGUAUGUGUUUUGUUCUUCUUACCUUCUCGUUUGGCCUCUAUGAUACUAUCAAACAUGAAUCCUUUUUUGCGUGUUUUGAUUUAUUUAUUUAUUUUCCUUUUAUUCCUUUAUGUAAUAUAGUGUGGCUAUGAAUAGAAAUAAGGAUUCAAUUACCCCCGCAAGUGAUACCAUGCAAAGAUGCAAUAAAGCAAAAGGAGAGGGAAAAGUUGCAUGGCCUACUAUCCGAAGCUGCAAUAAAGUAAAAGGGAAAGGAAAAUUUGAUGAUGCAAGUCAUGAACUUUGCCCUUACUUUGAUAAUUUUCCAUCUCAAUUAACUACCCACAUUCUCCUAAAGCUUCCCAUUAAGUCUCUUCUCAUAUGUAGAUGUGUGUGCAAAAUUUGGAAUACACUUAUAUCAGAACCACAUUUUGCUAAAUUGCAAUUUGAGCGAGCACCAGUUAGUUUCGUGAUUCGAAAUUUAGACAAUAUAGGAGUGUCAAGAAACCUAUACCUUCUUGAGUGUGAAGCUGAAAAGUUUGAGAUUGGAAGCAAAAAUCAUGUGAAGCUUGACCCUAUAUUCGAGCUUCCUCUUUGUAAAGACAUAUCAUCUAGGGACAAAAAUGACGCCAAAUUUUAUAAGGUGAUAAAAAAAAAAAAAUCCAAGAUACGUUAUUUUACUCUCACCUCAAGUAGGGACAAGUUUGGCAUUGUGAAUUCUUGCAAUGGCUUGCUUUGUUUAUCUGAAACAUCUAUCGGAAGCCCUUUAGUGAUUUGCAACCCAGUAACGAGGGAAUUUACAAUACUUCCUGAACUUACUACGACUUCUGACUGGUUUAACAGUGCUCGGGUACAAGCUGGUUUUGGUUUCCAACCCAAAACUAAUGAAUAUAAGGUGAUCAUAAUGUGGAACAAAUAUGUUAGACGAGACAAUCGUUUGGUGUUUGAGCGUGUAGUGCUCGAGAUACACACGCUCGGAACAUCAUCAUGGAGAAAUGUUGAAGUGGAUCCUCAAAUUUCUUUUUUGAAGCUUUUGAAUCCAACAUGUGUGAAUGGCGCACUUCAUUGGAUUAUAUUUGAAGCUUGGCAACAAAAGUCAAUAUUGUGUUUCAAUUUUGAAAGUGAGAGGUUGCAGUCGUUUCCUUCUCCUCCACAUGUGUUUGGAAAUCAUGAUAAUGGAUUUCCCCAUAGCAUGCCUAUUAGAUUGGGAGAAUUGAAGGGAUUUCUUUACAUUUGUCAUAGAUCGUCUCUCGAGAAUGUUACAAUGUGGGUUAUGAAUGAAUAUGGCAUUGGAGAAUCAUGGACUAUUGUUUACAACAUUGAUACUUCGCUCUUGUACAUUCCGGGCACUUGUGUGGGCUAUCCUUAUCCGUGGCGUUGUAGUUUUUAUUGGCUGUCUAAACACCACGAACCUGAGAAACAUGGGUUCAAAGUUUUUCGAAUUCAAGGGACAACAGAAGUUGAAGUAAUUGAAUAUAUUCCAAGUCUAAUAUCAUUGAACGAUGUCGUGAAAGGAGACAAUGUUGAAGCGUUGAACACCCACUCAUGGUACGAAUGUAAUAUUUUAUUUUGAUUGAGUAAAUGAAUAUGAUUUUCUUUUAGAAAUUACAAUUUGACUCAUAAGACAAAGAUUCAAUGGGACAUAUGUGAAUUUCUUACGUUGUUGUCUAUGUUUUGAUUUCCACUUUUGUGAACAACCAUGCUCUAUUUUUGUGUUGUUUUAAUUUGUUAUAAUUUUAGUCCGUUUUCGUUGCCUUUAAUUACAUAUUAGCUUUGACAAUUGUAAAAAUACAUGUUGACUCAAUUAUUUGUUGGAAAAUGUUGUCAACAAUCGCUCGUUUCAACACAUUAUUACUAACACCAAUUCUCUUAUUCUGUUAAAUGCACAUGGGUCCAACCACUAUAUGCGAGACUUGUUUUCAAAGUGGUAGGUCCUAUAUGUAUUUCACCAAUAAGAGAGUGUAAGUUAGAAAGAGUGUUAAAAUGAGUGUUGUUGACAUUACUCCUAUUUAUUAAUAAUUACAUCUUAUAAAUUUCUCUUAGAAAUGUAACUUGGUCUAACACAACUCUACAAAACCGGCUUAAGAUGUUAGAAUUGUUUUCACAUAUAAACACUUGUUGAGGCCAUCUUUUAUCCGAUGUAGAACUCUUUAGCAAAUUCCUUUAUACUUUUUGGGUUGAUGGACGAGUAGGAAAUGGAUAGUUCUUGUAAUGUUGGUUUUUGGAUCUUCCUUGUUUGUUUAGUUGUGGAUAGUUUCUCAAGACUAUUUUAUCCCCUACAAAUUGUAGUUAUAGCAAAUUUUACUUAACCAUUGUUCCUUAAUUGUUUUAAUUUUUUGUAGGUGGGAAAACGAUAUUACAUGUGGAGAAAAUGAAGUUCUUUCCAUAUCUCAACAUAUUGUUUGAGACUUGGAAAGUACACGUUCUUCACCUGCACUUCUGGUGAAGAAUUUGGUGAAGAGCCUGCUUCCUAAUAAGAGUACGUUUGUUUUCGCAUUGGAAGCCUUUGAUGAAUAAUAUAUGAAUUUCUAUACAACAGGGAGGGUUAAAAGAGAAACUCUUCUAUAGACACAACCACAAAUGAUAAAUAUUUAUUUAAACACGCCCUCAUCAAAUAUGCAAAAGUUAAAAGAGAAUAAAACUAAAUGAUGUUGAUUGAUGUGAUCUAUUUAUUUUUGUUUUAAAUUUUUCCAUUUGAUGUGAGCGCGUCCAAAUAUUUUUCAUUUGUGCUUGUGUUCAUAGAAGAGUUUCCCAGUGGUAAGAGAUAAAAUUCACUGUUCUAUCUUACCAUUCUUUUAAUUAUUACAAUUGUGUUUAACUAGAAAAUGUUGAUUAACUAUUUAGGUUAAAUAAGUAAAUGGUCCCCCUAAAUAUAUCAACAUUUGAUUUUAGUCCUCGAAAAUUUUCCAUCCAUGAAAUUAGUCCAUACUUUUUUGUCAACUCAUGUGUAACCUUCAUGUUUUUUAAUGAAAUUUUCUAGAAAUGGAUUUUUCAAAAAAAAAAAAAAGUUUUUGGCAAAACAUAAAUUUAAUAUGAAUUUUUAUGUUUUUGGUGCUAAAACAUUUAUAACACUCAUGUUUUGUUAAAAAAAUCUAAUUUUUUUUGGAAAAUAUUAUCAUACUUUUUCACACAUUUCUGGAAAAUUUCAUGAAGGUUAAACAUGAAUUGACUAAAAAGUAGGUGAAAAUUUUUGGAGGACCAAAAGCAUAGGAAAUAUUUUAAAAGAACUAAAAUCAAAUGUUGGUUUAUAUAGGAGACCAUUUACUUAUUUAACCCUAACUAUUUUGAUGCAUAGUUUGAAGUUAAUUGUUGGCUCCGUAGAUAAUUACAAAGUUUGGAUGCAAAUAAAUUAAUAAUUCUUGUGUGACUAUUUUCUUCGAGAAAAUAAGUAAUUCUACUCUAAAACAAAACACAUAAUUUGAUUUCCUAUUUUUGUACAUUUUGGAAGGAAGCAAUAAAAAUUAUAUUGGAUACAAUUAAGUUGGUCAAUAUGCUGAAGGCUGGAUAUUGUUACUCAAAAUUUUGUUUAAAUUGACAGGAAAAUUUGGAAAUACAGAAGGCUGGGUAUGUUAUUAAAACGAAGUCAAUCAAUAUGCUGAAGAGAAUUUUUUGAGCUGGAGGAAACAUCCGCAAAGUUUCGGAGCCGUGGAGCUGCAUCAAAGAAUUUUUUUUGUAUGCUUUUGUUAAGUAAUUUUAAACCAAAUAAGGACUGAAUUCUUUGAUGGAUUGGUUACAUGAUGUUGUAUGCUUUUAAAGUUUGUUUUGAACUGCGAUGUAUUGCUGGUUCCUAAUAUGUUUUGUUUGAGUUAAUGUUGAACUCAGUAUACUUCUGUUUUGAACUGUGAUGAAUUGCUGGUUUCUAAUAUGCUUUGUUUGAGUCAACAGAGUUACACAUUUCAAAAUUUCAUAAUCAAUAAGAAUAAUAGCUCGGACUUUCUUCCCUUAACAUAUUAAUAAGAGAGUGUUGGGACAUUGGUAUGAAGUUGAAAGAAAAUUGAAUGGUUGGGAAGAUUAAACACCAAGUCAUGAGAUUUUAACAUAAUGUUGCGUGAAUUAAAAAUCUUUUUAAUUUUUAAAUACUUGAUAUUGAUAAAAUAAUAGUAAUUAUUAUUAUUUUUUAUUCAUGAUGUCACUUUCCAUAACUUUAAUUUAGUUUAUUUUGGUUGUGAUCAAGAUUGAGAAUUUAACUAAGUUUUCUAUUUUUUCUUCAUUCACUUCCAAUUACUUUGUAUCUUCCAUUUUACUGGUUAGUUUCUUUCACAAGUUUAACUAAAUUUGAUUACAAAAUUUCUAUAUAAAUAAAUGACUAUAAUGAGUCAUAAAUCACAUCAAAAUUGUUAAAAAUAAAUAAAUAAAUAAAUCACAUCAAAACAUUAUAUUGAGUUGUCGAAAACUUUUUCUCUCUUCUCCCUCCAACUUGUGUUAACAAGUUAUUCCCUUAUGAAUUAACAAUGCUCUUAAGACCAUGGUCUAUUUUUGGUAUAAUGUUCUUCCGAAAUUAAGAAUGAUUUUAAGAACAUAGUUCAUUCGAUAAUAUAUGUCCUUUCAAAAUAAAGAGUAUUCUUAAAUUCAUAGUCUUUUUCAAGAAUAAUGCCCUUUUGGAAUUCACAAUGAUUUAAGAAUAAUGCCCCUCUAGGGUUAUUGUAUCCUUCUGCAGAAUGUGGAGCUUGGGGAGGAGUAUUUGAACAUAGGUCAUCAUUAUGCGCUACUAGCCCACAUCUAAAACAGAACAUUGGUAGAUUUUCAUAUCUGAAAUCUACCUAGUUAAUUCCAUCAACAUCAUUACCAAUAUACAUUUCAGCCUUUAUAGGGGGAGUUAAUGUCAAAAAGAAUCUUAGCUUUCACUAUCCUAGCACUAUCAUGGUAAUCAUACAAUCCAACAUCCAAAACCUGACCAAUUUGAGACCCAAUUUGGUUACCCAUACAAAUAGAUCUACAGUGAAGUGGGAGGCCCCACAUCUGGACCCAAAGAGGAAUUUUAGAGAAAUCUAGUUCACUAGGAUUAACCUUUCUAUCCCAAGAAUGAAGAACUAACCAGCAGUUGCGUAUUAUCCAUGGAUUUCCUUUUAGAAUUCUUGUCAGAUCUUGUUCUUUAUCCAUAGAUAUCUGAUACAAUUUUCCUUCUAUUUCUGUAAUCUUCAAUCCUGCAGGUUUGGACCAAAUUCCAGCCAUAGAGUUGUGUAAAGAAGGUGUAGGAAUGGAUUUGUCAGAGAGAAUCUUUUCAAUCAAGCUGUUCUUGCAAGUGUUAAUACUUUCUUGGAGAUCAUCUUCUUGAUAAUAGCAAAACGGUUCAGAAUCUGGUGACUCCCCAGGGGGUGAUUCUUGAUGAGAAGGUUGUUGAAAAGAAUCAGUCUGGUCUGGUGCAUACUAGUGUCCACUGGUUGAAUCUUGACCAUCAUGAGCGCCAUGGAUUUGUUGUUGAUAAGAUUGUUGGUUUGUGGAGAAGAGGUUAGGAUUGUUUGUUAUGAUAGGGGUUACGUUUGCAACCUUUUGAAUUUUUGUAGGACGGUGGGAAUCUGGGGAAAGAAUAGGGUGGAGUUGCUGAUGUUGGGAGUCAGAGACGGCUCCAGAAGUGGAAGGGAGAGACAUGAUGAGAUAAGGCAGAGGGGAAGGGAACCACAAUGAGCAAAAGAAAGGAAAGAAGCAAGAUUGGUAACGAUGGUGAGAUGAGAAAAACACGAUUGGUAAUGAUGAUGGGAUGAGCCUAAAGAAGAGGCAAAGGAAAAGAAGACAAAAACCAAGUGAUGAAACUUCCAAGAACAGAGGGAAAAAAAUUCAAUUAAUAACAAAGGGGAAACAUCACAAGAUGUAAAACUACGAAUCAACUAUCAUCAAAAAGGAGAUGAAGGAAAACUGAAAGCCGUUGGUAAAAAUAUUUAGUGGCAUGUAAGUGUUGAUGUUCGAACCUCAAAUUUUUUACUUAUUCACAUUAACGUGUGAAUUUCUUUCUAGUCAAUAUGUUAUUUGAAGAAAUAAAAAAAAAAAUCUAAUCUUCCAUAAAAAAAAAUCUAAUCUUAUAUAAAUAUUGAUACCCACUUUAGUAAUUUUGCAUUCAAAAUCAAUUUUGAUCCAAAUUAUUCAAACAACAUAAAUUUAUUUAUAAGAAUCACUUUUACAUAUUAUAUCCAAACAUAAAUCAAUUUACAUGCAAGUCAUUUUUAACUCAAAUCAAUUAUAUCAAAAUCAAUUCUAUUAACCUCAAUUAUCUCGACGUAGAACCAAACACACACUGAGUAGCCCACAUGGGAAAAAAAGAAGAUGCGACUACUUUUACAAAUGUUAUUAUAAGCAGCGUUCUUUUGUCAAACUUUCUGUUUUGACAUCAUAUACUUGUUAAAAAUUGAAAAACUUCUUGCAUAAGUAAACUACUUUCAACUGCUGGAUCUUGGAUCUUGUAAUUCGUUAUUACUCUUCCACUAGUUGACAAUAUGUGCUUGAGCAAUAGACACAAGGAAAUUGUUAUAUGUACAUCAUCGUCCUAAAGCUUAUAACAAUAUCCCAUUCAGGAUUCAACUAUGAAUGGAAAUGUAUUUCACUUGAGAGAUUGCAGGGAAAAUGUUUCGAAUGAGUAUAGAUUCCAUCAUUUUUAAAAUGCUUCGCAGUGAUUUUUCUACUUUGCUUUUUUAGAAAAUCAUGGCAACAGUUAAAAUUCUUACUGUAAGGAUCAAGUUCAAGACCCUUUUUUUGCAUUAAUAUAUAUAUUAUAAAAACAACCAGAAUUUGUUGGGGUCAUGCUAAAAAGGAAAUUAAAAACUAACUUUUAAUUUUUAUAUUGAAAAGAUACAUUUUUAAGUUUUUGAAAUAUUAAAUACACAAUUUUCAAUAUUAUAUUUUUAUAUAUUUUUUUGGUUUAUUAUAUUUGAUUUCUUAACUUAUGUGUAAGUGUACAAAUCAGCAUUUUCCUAUAACAUUUUGUAUAAGUGAAUUAUCACUUAAUAACACAUUUUCAUGUUAUCAACUUGAAAGUUACAUAAAUAUCUCCCUUAUCAUGUCAUCAGAAUUCAGUCUCAACAUAAAUAAAAAAAAAAAAAAAAAAUCUGGAAAACUAAAAUCGCGGUUAGAAACAUGAGGGCUAAAUUUGUGAAUGAAACAAUAUAGAGGGACUAAAAUGCAUUUAACACACACAACAAAUUUACAUAUCAAUGUCAUACUCUAACAACUUCAUGUAAAUCAAAACUUGAAAUAGAUAGAGGUGUCCCAAUUAAUAAGGAAUGAAGAUGUAGAAUGAAUUAAGCCGAUAGGCAAGUAAAAAGAUGAUCAUCGACAAGUGAGUAUUGAUGAUGAGUGAAGGACAUGGUUUUAACGUUGUCCUUAAUCCUCUCAUUGCUAUUAUUCCAAUGUGAAUGUGUUUGAGAGCCUUUUAUGGAAGCCACCUUAGCUGCAAGUUUUUUCUCAAGUCUUCUCUUUCUAACAUAAUCUUCUGGAAUGAACACAUCCAUCAUAUAACUUUUUCUUCUAAGUUCCAAGAUGAGGUGAAACCUAAUGUAAGUGAAAAUUGGUAAAUGUGUGUAGAGCAUGUGGUGUGAUGAGUGAUGACAAUGUACGAGGAUAUAAAUAAAGGGGACAAGAUAGUGAAAUACUAGGGGCGUUUGUACCAUGUUUUGAGUUAAACUGGGACCUAAAUUUUGGUAUUUCAGUUUGGUAGUUUUGCUCAUAAAAUAAUGGGCCCCUUAGAGUUCCUUUUCGUGUCCAAAUCAAAACUGUUCGAACUUGAACUGUACUUGCCGACUCAAGAAUUAACUUAUCGGUUAUGCUAAUAGUUUUGUUGUGAACAUAGUAUUUAAUUAAUAAAAAAAAUAGUGUAAAGCAUUGUACCCAAAAAAAAUAUAUAUAUAUAUAGUGUAAGGCCCUAAUUUAGUCUUUUAAGUAACAUUAAAACUUUGUAAAAAAAAAAGUAACAUUAAAACAUUCCUAAAAAAAAUAAAAAGUAACCCUAAAACAUCUACAAUAAAGCUACUCCAACUUCUGAAUACUUGGACGGAGAGAAUUGAUAUUUGAACAACCAUUUUUAUAUAACUUUUGUACAAUUUUCUCUCUAUACUCACAUUAUUUUCUUAUUCUCUUUCUUCCUUUUUCUCUCUCCAUUAUUUUUGACCAAUGAAAAGAGAUAACAACAAGGUUGUCCCAAAAAUUGUACUAAAUAAUUGUUUAAAUAUCAUUAUUCUUGGACGGAACUUGCAAAUAUAUACAACUCAUUUAUAUAUUUAAAAAUUAAUAUAAUAAGUAUUCAAUUCUUUUUCCUUAAAAAAAGGUAUUCAAUUCUUUUAAUGGGGAGCACAGCAAAAAAAGAGUUAUUAAAUAGUUUUUAUUAAUAAUUUUAUACUACCAUUAUAUUAUGGAAAUGUUAACAAGUGUCACCGAGACACACUUUAAGACAUUUAAAUAGUACUCACUCCGUUCCAGAAUAGAUGAUCUAGUUGACUCCGUCACAUGUACCAAUAUAUACGCUUUAUCUUUGAUAUCUUCAAUUCUCUACUAAAAAAAAUUAUGAAAACUUAAUAUUUUAAAAAUAUUCAUCGAGACGAAUCCAACAACAUCUUAUAUGAUAUUAUUUAUCUUUGUGAAUUAGUAGAAAAAUAUGGUGAAAGUAUGUUAAGUCAAUAAUGUAUAUUAUCAAAUAUGUCAUCUAUUGAGGGACAGAUGGAGUAAUGUUUUAUGAGAAUUAUUGUAUUUAAUGCAUUGAAAAUUGAAACAAUUGACUUUUUUUAAUGGACAAUUUCUUAAAAUAGAAUGCUUAAAGAGUGCUCAGAGGCACUCGUUAAUAAGACCCUUAUAUUAUUAUGUUCUGCCAUGAGAGUAACGUAUAAAAUAUCAACCCUAGGGUACGAUCAUCCAUACUAAUCUUAUAUCUCAUUAUGCAAAAAAAGAAACAUUAUUACAUCUACUUUUUUAAGUGUUUGGUUUCACUUUUAGAUGCUUUAGAAGUGCUUUUCAAGUUCAAAAACAAUUAUAGUAUUAUAAAAUUAUGUUUGACAUUUUGUUUAGAAAUCAAUUUUAGGUACCAUAAGCAAAUUUACAUGAAGCUACUAUUUAUAGUUUUUUAUUUUUCUUUCUAGAAUUAAUUUUAAAACACAUUUAUAAUUCAACUUGCUUUUACAUAAAAAUUUAUGAAAACACAAAUCAAUUAACUCAAAAUCAAUUAUUGUCAAAGCAUAACCCAACAAACACUAAAUUUUAUACUUUUUUGACUUAAUUACACUUUUGGUCCUUGUGUUUUGGCCUACUCACGAAAUUGAUCAUGCCCUUUUAAAACAUAACAAAACGGUCCUUCAAUUAUCAUUUUUGUUGCAUUUUUCGUCCUACCUCCUAUUUUCAAACUCCAUAAACGCAGAGAAAUGACAGUUUUAGGCGGUUUUAGAACUACCCCUAUGCUCAACCAUGAAAUCAACAAGGAAUAAAACAUGUGGGCACAAGGAAUCUAUUAUAUUCAGCACACUAACAAAAAAAAACCCUAAUUUGAAACAUAUCUUAGAAAUUAGGGUUUUCUUGGUUAGUGUGUUGAAUAAAGUGGAUUCUUUGUACCCACAUGCUUUAUUCCUUGUUUAUUUCAUGGUUGAGCAUAGGGGGUAGGUCUAAAACUGUCAUUUCUCUACGUUUUUGGAGAAUAAAAUGGGGGGUAGGACGAAAAAUGAAACAAAAAUGAUAAUUGAAGGACCGUUUUGUUCUGUUUUAAAAGGGCAGGACCAGUUUCGUGAGUAGGCCAAAACACGAGGACCAAAAGUGUAAUUAAGCCUAUUUUUUUUAGGAAACUAAAUUUCAUACUUAAUCUUUAAAUAUAAAAACACACACAAAAUUACAUAUGAGUAAAAGACAAGCAUGCAAUAAACUCCAAUUUUUUUGGAUUUCAGAACCAAAUAAGACACGGAAAAUUAUUAUCAAUAACAAUAAAGAUACUAAUGAUUAUUUUGCAACAAUUUUAUAUGAAAUUUGUACAUGUCUUUUGAGUCUCCAAAGUCAAUCUUUUACUAUUAAGUUAACCCUUAGAGGGAAAAAAAAAAAAGACUACUUAAGAUUAUAUUUGGAAUUACUUUACUGUUUUCAUAUACUCAAUUUAGAGAUCAAGUGUAUGAAUAAUUGAUACUUGAGAGACUUGCUUUUCUAUGAAGAUAUACUUGAGAUACUAAAUUAAAGGUUUCACUAUGAAAAUAAUAAUAACGAGUUUUUUAAAAAUAACUUUACAUUUAAAUUAUCAACAAAUAUCUAACUUUGUUUUAACAUGAGAAUAGUUUUUUUUUUUAAGCAACAUGAGAAUAGUUUAACAUGACUAAAUAACCAACAUAGAAUAGUGACUAAUUGGUUUUAACAUGUGAUUAAUUUGAAAAAAAAUAAUAAUGAGUUUUUUAAAAAUAGCUUUACAUUUAAAUGAUCAACAAAUAUCUAACUUUGUUUUUUCCUUCAAAAAAAAAUCUAACUUUGUUUUAACAAUGAUAAUAGUUUAACAUGACUAAUUAACCAACAUAGAAUAGUGACUAAUUGGUUUUAACAUGUGAUUAAUUAAUUAGUCACUAUUUCACCCUACAAGUCAAAGAGCCAAGAUUCUUUUGUUUUUUUUUUUUGAGAGAAAGAGCCAAGAUUCUUAGUCGGUAAACAAGAUAAUAUAAUCAAAUCUACCUAUACUAUCAUUGAUUGAUAAAAGAACACGUGUGAUCCCAAUCAAUGGAUGGAUCUAAAAAUUUCAAAAGUUUAGUAUGUGUGAGACUCAAGUGUCAAAUAAUAUGACAGAAAAGCAAUUGGAUUAACUAAAACUGGAUUAAACAUUUUGAAACUCUAUAAAGAGGUUCAAUUUAGUCACGAUUGAAGUGUGAUACGAUUGUGAGAAAACCCUAAUAUUAGCUUGAGUAAAGAAUUUUAGCCAUUGAAACACAAUAAUAAUAACGCCAAAAUGAAAGUGAAGCAUCAUGGUUGCUUACUUAUUUGGGUAAGUGAGGGCAUUACAAACGCGGUAUCAUCAAAAUUAAGAAACGAUGCAUUGUGAUUCAAUUCAAUUCAAUUCAAUGUGCUUGGUAUAUAUCUAUUCAUAUAACCAAUGGAUUGUUGACUGCUGUUUCUUUAUUGUUCCAUUAUAUACAAUUUUCCCAUUUCAAUGUUGUGACUUACGUGCCUGGUGAAUCUUAUGAGUUACUUCUUGUUCGGUAGUUUAAGAAAAUGACAAUAAUCGUUACAUAAGUUGAGAAGUUAAUGUUUGAAUCUCAUCAUCAGUGGCGGAUCUUGAACUUUUUUUCUGGGGGUGCCAAAUAUUUUUAGAAUAUAUAUAUAUAUCAGUUUUAAAAUAUUAGUGAAAUAAUGAAUUAGCCUAGUGGUUUAUUUUCCUGAAACAACUAUAGGGAACGGUGGUUCGAUUCCCAUUAGGACCUCUUUUUUUGAGUAAAGUAUUAAUAAUACAAUUGAAAAUAUAAAAAAAAACAGCUAACGAGGAUCGAACCCACACGCAGCUGGGGGGUUUCGAAACUCACCAAUCCACUGCAAAAACAAUACUCCGUUUGAAUUAUCAUGCAUAAUAUGAUAAUUAUAGUAAAGUUAGGGGAUGCAGUGGCACCUGCCGGUCCCCACCAAGAUCCGCCACUGCUCAUCAUCGUAUUUAAUUUAACAGUUUCGAUAUUUUUAUCAAUUGAAUUAGAAUUUAUACAAAUAAGUUAAUUCCUUUCCUCUGUUUUCUAUUAUUUUAUAUUAUUAUCUCAACCAUAAUUUACUUUUUUUUUUUUAAGAAGCUAAAAUAAAAUUAUAUAGAACCAAACGAUUUUAUUUUCUCUCUACAAAGAGUGCUGGAGAAAAUAAAGAGAAAAAUAUUGUUACAUCAAAUAAAGGUAUAAAACACCAUAAGAAAGCAAAGAGAACCAUUACAUGUAUAAAAGGGGAUUAAACCACCAAAUCGUUCUUGAUUAGAAGGUCUGAUUAAAAUCAUUUUAAAUACAAGUAAGCAUAUCGAAAUGGUAAGUUUGUUCCGCAACGGAAGAAAAAAAUGGUAUUGAUUUUUUUCUUUGGACAAGAAAAUGGUAUUAAUUUUUAUGACCAAAAUAGUAUUAUUUUUUUUUUUUCAGGUAGUCUAUUGGUUAGAAUUUACGGUGAAUAAGUGGGAUGUCCGAAGUUCGAACUCCGGCCCUGCAUAUAAUAAUGCAUUAUUCUAUCAUCUAAGCUAUGCUCACGGCACAUAGUAUUUUUAUUUUACUUGGACUUCCAAAGUGUUCCAAACCAGGAAUACGUUAUGACGCACGAGAAAAUGUAAGCAAGGUGCGUAGCGGACACUUUUCAAUUAUGUGUGCCGUAAAAAUCAUCAUAUUUGUAUAUUUGGAUAAUUUACAAUCCAUCUCUAAAUUUACAUUCUUUCAAAAAAGAUAAAAAAAAAAAACUCUCAUAUUUACAUAAAGUUUUUGGUAAAAGAAAUAAAAUUUACAUAAAGUUGACUAACGCUAAAAUAUCGUCAUGCUAUAUUGAUAGGUUUCACUAUGACUACUAAGGAUAAGCUAAGAGAAUCACUAGGAAUUUGCUGUAAAAUUGUCACUGAAAUAAAUUGCAGAAAGGAAGACAAAUUAUAGAAAAUAAUUCUCAAUUCAUUAUUUAGGGUUGUGGCCAAUAGCCUACAAUAUAUAGUAGUGACACACAUAAAAGAGUUACUUGUAGGGGCCUACUGUUACGGCCCAUACUACUUAGUUAUAAAACCCUUAAGCCACAAAGGCUUCUUGGUCUUCCUUUUGCUAUCUGAACCCACGUGCCUAUCAUAUAUUAUCAUCAUAAAAUAUUAAGCGUGUGUUUGGUUCCACAGUGACAAAAAUUGAUUUUAGUAGAAUUAAUUUUGUAGAAUUGAUUUUAGUUAAAAGUGAGUUGAAUGUAAAGUGAUUUAAGUUUGGAUGUUUUAAGAACAAAAGUGAUUUACAUUAAAGAUGGUGUUUGGAUAGCUUGAAUCAAAAUUGCUUUUAGGUGUGUAAAUUACCAAAAUGGGUUUUAUUAUGUGUGUGUGUAUAUAUAUAUAUAUAUAUAUAUAUAUAUUUAUAUUUACAUAUUUCUCCUUUACUUAUUUUUGAUAAAAUUGACAUUAAAAGUACUAAAUUUGCACAAUUAUUAAAAACGAAGUAUUCAAAUAAAACAAGGGAAUACAUGUGUAUUUUUAUUACAUACUCAUGUUUAUUUUUUUAUUUUUUUUUACGUAUGUUUUUUAUAAUUUUCUGCUUUUGAUUUUUUUUAUUUUUAUAUAUUUAUAGUUAUUUUGCUUUAAUUUAUUAAAUGAAAUGGGCGAUCCACAUGACUCCUUAAAUAAGGAAAAACGACGAGGGACAACACCUCAAGAUGACAAGCCACAGUUAUUUUUUACUUAUGGUUUUAUUAAAGAGGGCAAAAUUGAGAAAUUGUCAAUGAUUGUUUGAGAAUCGAUUGAAGGAACAGUAAAAGUUAGAAAAUGCUGCUUCACCUAAAAUCAAUUCCAAGAUUAAGAAUCAAUUCCCAAGCUGAGAUCAAAACACCCUCAAUUUCAUUCCCAAGCCAGUUAUCACAAUUGCAACAAGUGUGAUCUAAUAUAGACAAAGCUUUUUAUUUUUAGAGAAAAACAAUCAUAUAAAAGUUAUGAGAACGCGGGACAAUAAUACCAUAUAAGUGUAGUCAUUCUAUAUAAAUAUGUAAGUAUCUAUUAACAGUGCAAUAUUGUCCCUGAAGCUCGAUCAUUAUUGAAUUAGAUCGACCAAGAUUGCAAGUAAAAUUGUGCAUAAAACAACCUCUCUACAAGCAGAGAUGCCAUAUGGAAGACCAAUAAAUGUUUGAAAAUUAAAAUUCAAAACUCGGGACUUCAAGGUUACUUGAAAGGAAUUAACAGCUAAUGAAAACAAGAGGGAAACUUAUAGAAAUAGAAAUAAAUAACAAUAUCAAUAUCAUUAGACAUAGUUGUUUUGACAGAUGUCAUAAAACAUAGGUAGUAACUAACUACAGAAAAAUAACACAAGACCGUGAAUAUCCAUCUGCACAUAUUUGUCGUGGCCCAAACGUGAAACUUCUCUACUCUCCUACGUUUGCCAAACAAAAUCCACCCUGUCAAGUUACUUAAUUACCACCACUACUUUGUUAUUUCCAAAUUCCAACAAGGAACCAUUCAUUAUAGUACCAUGUUUCCUCUUUUCUUAGUUGCUAUAUAUAUUCAAUUCUAAAUCAUCAUAAUAUUCAUUCACCUACCCUUGUCAUAACUAAGUUUUCAGGUUGCACUGUGUAUAUAUCCACAGAACAAGUCAUGGGAGAAUCAGAAGGUUCCAGCAUCAACAAAACUGAAUCACCACAGCUACAGUCUCUUCUGGACCCUGUUCCUGAAGAGCUUUCCCCUGUUGUGGAAAAGGAUUCAGAAACUCUAAGCACGAUCAGUAUCAGUCAGGAGCCUAAUCAGCAGGCCAUCUCAACACUUGAUGAUCAGAGUAUUUCUCUCACUUUUCUCUUUGUUUUUUUUUUUUUUUUUGUCUUUUUAGAGAUUAGAACGCACAAGUUAUUUUAUGUUUGUUUAUUGUAAUAAAAUUACUUCUUAAAAAAUUUAAUUAUAAAAGACUAAUAAAAAAAUACCUUUGUAUUUGAAGCAGUUUCUAGAUUUUUUUUUUUUUUUUUUUUCGGACUCUCGAUUUUUUAUUUUUUAAAUUGUAACAAACAAAUGAAUUUUUUUUAAAAAGAUGGUUUGUAUUAAUAAAAAAAAAAAUGUAACAAAGGAGCUCGUGACAUAGAACAGAUAAUUCUAUUUUGUCAAAAUUGUUUAGGUCACUGCAUGAGAUUUUGUAUGCUACUUUGAUUCAUUCAACUCAUCGUAUUUUUCAUACAGAGGUUGCAGAUGAUCAUGCUGAUAAUAAGGAAACAGGGGACCAUGAUGAUAAAAAGGAUGCUAAGGACUCAACUGACAGAGGUUAUUUUCUAUAAAAAGUAGUAUAAAGAUAUUGUAUGCUUAUAUAGAUAUAUUGUAACUAUUUUCUUUUUGUUCCAUUAGAUGCUGGGCUUGCAAAAAUUGUAGCAGAGAAAAGAUUGGCUUUAAUUAAAGCAUGGGAAGAAAGUGAAAAGACAAAGGCAGAAAAUAGGCAAGGACCCAUCUUAUAGAUUUAUGACUAUCUUACUCAAAUAAAAUAUAAAGGGUUAAUAGGUCUUUAACCUCCUGUAAUAUAGAUCAUUUUCGGUUUUUCCCCUGUAAAAUAUAUUUUUUUUAUUUACCCCCUGUAAAAUUUUAUUGUUUUGAUUUAACCCCCUAAUAGGCCAAAUAAAAACGAAAAUUUCUUAAAAAAAAAAAACAAAAUUGGUUUUUGUUUGGCCUAUUAGGGGGGUAAAUCAAAACAAUAAAAUUUUAUAAAGGGGUAAAUCAAAAAAAUAUUUUAUAGGAGGGAAAUCGGAAAUGACCUAUAUUACAGGAGGUAAAGACCUAUUAACCCAAAUAUAAAUUAUUCAAGAGCUUGAUGAAAUGGUCACACAGGGCAUACAAGAAGCAAUCUUCUGUUGGAUUAUGGGAGGAAAGCAAGAAAUCAUCUAUAGAGGCACAACUCAAGAAAUUUGAGGUGAUUAUUAUUUCUUUUUGUUGUAAAUUAGGUAUCUUCGCGCACAAUUGUAUAGACAAAUCUCUCGAGUCUUGUGGAACUCAAAUGUGUGACAAAUUCCUCCCAAAAGUUUUACCGUUGUUAAAUGCUCAAGCUCGGCUCGGGAUCAAACCCUAAACCUUGGUUAGAUUAGAAGAGAUGCGAGUCAUUUCAUCUAAGCGCUCUUGGGUCCCGUAAUACUCAUUUAAUUCAUCAAUGUGACUUGCUUUUAUUUUCAAAUAUCAGUUGUUUCCCUCAUUUGUAACUUACAAAAUUGUUUUAAUUAAUAGGAAAAUUUGGAAAGAAAGAAAGUUGAGUAUGUUUCAAAAAUGAAAAAUGAACUAGCUGAAAUCCAUCAAUAUGCUGAAGAGAAAAGAGCAAUAGUUGAGGCUCAAAAAAGGGAAGAAUGUCUUGAACUAGAGGAAACAGCUGCAAAGUUUCGUAGUCGUGGAGUUGCACCAAAGAAAUUGUUUGGAUGCUUUAGUGCUUAAGUUUUUUUUAAGCCAAAUAAGAAGAAUUGAAUUCUUGAUGGAUUGGUUUUACAUGAUGUUCAAUUAUGUAUACUUUUAAAAGUGUGGUUUUGUUCUUAUAUGUAUUGUUUGAGUUAACAAAGAAUUCCACAUUUGAUAAUCAAUAACAUUUACUACUUUCCCUUUAAUUGUAUCAUUAAGGGAACAAUACCACCUGCAACUCAAACAAACAUAGACUAGCAAGACAUUGGCCAUAAAUUGGAUCAAAUUAAUAUAACAAUGAACAAUGCAAAUUAAUUACAAGUAGAUUGCUAAACUUUUUCAGCAUCACAAUUCUCAAUUAAUAGAUCCUAUUAAUUAAUUAACUUUUGUUGUAAGUAAUAGAUGCAUUUGAUGGAUUGAAUGGAUGAUAGAGAAAUAGUUUAUUUCACCACCCUUAUUCUACACCUAAUUGCUACUCUCGUGAGAUUGGAUUGAAGGGAGUAUACAGGGACGAAUUAAAAAAUAUAUAUUAAGGGCGGCUAAAAUUUAGCACAUAAUUCAUCUGUCCUUAAAUAUAAGACCGGCUAAAUUUCUAGAUACAUUUACUAUUCAUUUUUCAAAUAUACCCUAUUAAUAUUAUCAAUUUGUCUUAGAAUAUGAAAAACAACAUUGAAUGCAUUUUGUAUAUAUAAAGUGUAAUUUAACCACAUUUUUUUUUUUACCGAAACAAAGUUAACUAUUAUCAUUAAUCAACCAAUGGCAAUGUUCAAUACAAGAAGGAUAAAAAUCAAAAAUACGGUGACUAACCGCACUUAUUUUAGAGAAAUUUAUUAGUGGUCCUUGGGUUCUUCGGCAGCAGUGUUACUACUACCUCCUCUGUUCUUUUUUUUUUUUUUUUGUAGAGACCUCCGUUCUUUUUUUACCGUUACCUUUUAACAUUUUACAUAAAUUAAGACAAUCAAUAAAUAUUAUUACAUUUAUGGAGGUUCAUUGGCAGUCCAUACCUGAUUACAUUGUUUGGUUCUAUGUAGUAUCUCAUCGCAAAUUAAUAGCUCAAGUUGAGGGAGAACCACCUAGGCAAGAAAAUGUCAAGGUUAUGAUAGACGAGGAGCAUGAGAGUGAAACUUUGGAUACAUUUCAGCUAGUAUAAAGGGUUAGGACCAUGACUUUGUAUGGCACAGCAAAUGGCACCACUUACGAUGAUCUAUAUAGUACUUUGGAGCAUAUUUCUGAAGAAGCAGAGUUGGUCGCUUAGUAUCUAGUCUCGUAUAGGAGAAGGGUAUUCUAACGACUUCAUUUGUAUUGUAUUUUUUCUUGUAUUUUUGUCAUCAUUAAUGUAUAUCGCAAGUUCACAACAAUUACUAUUUUGAAUGUGUACGAAUAUUGACGUGAUGAAUGAAAUACACAAAAAUUUUAUGUCGUUUCAAUGUUGAAUGAAUUUAAUGUGAUCAAUGUUGAUUGUGUUGUCUUUGAAUGUUUUUAAGUGUAUUUGAAUGUGUUAUAGCAAUGCAUUGUUUGGAGUUAAAUUUUGGUUAAGCCAAGUUUAUGUCGGUGUAAUUUUGUAAAAAAAUAAAUAAAUAAAAAGUGAUCGUGGUGUUUUGGCCCAUGACCCUUUUGUUUAUAAAAUAGAUAAAUUAAUAAAGGAUUUGGGGUUGCCCUUUUAAUUGUUGUUCUUCUACGAUCUCACUCACGCACGCACGUUCCCAGCUUUUGCAAUUCUCCAUUCCGACCUUAGCUAGGUACUUUUGUUUUGAUUGAUUUCUUUCUCGUUAAUUAAUUGUCAUGUUUUUUUUACUUGUUAGUUAAUUUUUAUUUUUAAUGUAAACUCCAUUCAUUUAUUUUCCUUUUUGCAAUUUAGUGUGAUCGGCCAUGAAAAGAAAAAAGGGUUCAAUUACCCCACCAAGGGCUACUAUCCAAAGAUGCAGCAAUAAAUCAAAAUGUCAACAACUUUGCCCUUACUUUGAUAAUCUUCCAUCUCACUUAACUACCCACAUUCUUCUUCAACUUCCCAUUAAGUCUCUUCUCAUGUGUAGAUGUGUGUGCAAAACUUGGAAUACACUUAUUUCAGAACCACAUUUUGCUAAAUUGCAAUUUGAGCGAGCACCAGUUAGUUUCGUGAUUCGAAAUUUAGACAAUAUAGGAGUGUCAAGAAACCUAUACCUUCUUGAGUGCGAAGCUGAAAAGUUUGAGAUUGGAAGCAACAAUCAUGUGAAGCUUGACCCUAUAUUCGAGCUUCCUCUUUGUAAUGACAUAUCAUCUAGGGACAAAAAUGACGCCAAAUUAUAUAAGGUGAUAAAAAAUAAAUCCAAGGAACGUUAUAUUACUUGCACCUCAAGUAGGGACAAGUUUGGCAUUGUGAAUUCUUGCAAUGGCUUGCUUUGUUUAUCUGAAACAUCUAUCGGAAGCCCUUUAGUGAUUUGCAACCCAGUAACGAGGGAAUUCACAAUACUUCCUGAACUUACUACGACUUCUGACUGGU